UGCCUCUCUUUAUAAGGAACCAAGGGCA
rnacentral:sRNA from 1 species